UGGGGAAUUUUGCGCAAUGGGCUAACGCCUGACGCAGCAACGCCGCGUGGAGGAUGAAGGUCUUUGGAUUGUAAACUCCUGUCAGCAGGGAAAAAGCGACUCGGAUUAAUACUCCGGGGAGUUGAUUGUACCUGCAGAGGAAGCCCCGGCUAACUCUGUGCCAGCAGCCGCGGUAAUACAGAGGGGGCAAGCGUUAUUCGGAAUUAUUGGGCGUAAAGGGCGCGUAGGCGGCUUGGCAAGUGAAAGGUGAAAUCCCUCGGCUCAACUGAGGAACUGCCUUUCAGACUGCUUUGCUUGAGGCCGGGAGAGGCGAGUGGAAUUCCCAGUGUAGCGGUGAAAUGCGUAGAUAUUGGGAGGAACACCAGUGGCGAAGGCGGCUCGCUGGACCGGUUCUGACGCUGAGGCGCGAAAGCGUGGGGAGCAAACGGG
rnacentral:rRNA from 1 species